rnacentral:misc_RNA from 1 species
UUUGUAUUCGUCUGAUAAUGAAGGUAAUAGGACGGUAGACAUGCAAAUUGAUAUAGAACCACGUGUUGAAUGACCAAUAAAAGAGGGCCAGAAUGAUACUUGUAAAAACGUACAAACACCUAAUGAUAUUAAAUCAAUUUGAUUUGGUCUUUGUUUAGCUAAUUUAAAGAAUCAUCAUUUGAUGUUUUCUCCAGCCCGCAUAUGUGAUUAUCAGCCCUUUAAGGUGCACACACUUAACAUUCUUCUAUCAAAUGAUGAUGUCAAG